rnacentral:tRNA from 1 species
CAGCGCCUGGCGCAGGAAGCGCAGCACGUCCCGGCUGCGCUCGAAGGGCCGGUCGAACGGCACGGCGUUCCAGUCCCCGACGACGACC